rnacentral:misc_RNA from 1 species
UUGUUUGGGGACUCUGUCCUCCUUACGAUUCACCCUUGCUUUUUUUUUGCGCACCCUUUGUUUCCUCGGCAGCUUUGCCUGCCAAUGAGGACCCCCCAAAAACCUUUUGCAAUCCUAGUAUAACGUUCUGAAAACAAACAAUAUUA